UACGAAGGGGGCUAGCGUUGCUCGGAAUGACUGGGCGUAAAGGGCGCGUAGGCGGCGGUCACAGUCAGAUGUGAAAUUCCUGGGCUUAACCUGGGGGCUGCAUUUGAUACGUGGUUGCUUGAGUGGGGAAGAGGGUCGUGGAAUUCCCAGUGUAGAGGUGAAAUUCGUAGAUAUCUGGAGGAACACCGGUGGCGAAGGCGGCAUCCUGGACCGGUAUUGACGCUGAGGCGCGAAAGCCAGGGGAGCAAACGGG
rnacentral:rRNA from 1 species